rnacentral:rRNA from 1 species
UACGUAGGGGGCAAGCGUUGUCCGGAAUCAUUGGGCGUAAAGAGCGUGUAGGCGGCUAGACAGGUCUGCUGUGAAAACUCGAGGCUCAACCUCGAGAUGUCGGCGGAAACCGUCUGGCUAGAGUCCGGAAGAGGAGAGUGGAAUUCCUGGUGUAGCGGUGAAAUGCGCAGAUAUCAGGAAGAACACCCGUGGCUAAGGCGGUUCUCUAGUACGGUACUGACGCUGAGACGCGAAAGCGUGGGGAGCGAACAGG